UGUCACAGCUUGUGCCAUCCUCCACAACAUCUGCCUCUGUGCUGACGACACCAAGGCCCCAGAGGAAGGUGUGGAGGUGAUGAUGAGGAGGAAGCUGGUUUGAAGGUCACUAGCGGUGCUCUCUGGCAGGACCAACUACCUGCUGAGGUCUCUGCCCUGGGGGAGGUACCACCUUGAUUACUGGUAACAGGUAAUUAAAUAAUCAAGAGGUUUAAAAAAAAAAAAAAAAACUUUUUUUCCAUUUUAUCUUUUAGUAUUUCUUUAUUUGUAUUUUGUUAUGGUAGACUAUUGGUCUUUAGCCAAUUUAGGUGCGUGCUGAAAACGAAACAAUUCUUGCUGUUGGGGGUGAGCUCUGCUGUGGGUACCAUAUGCGCUCGACCUGCACAUUGAUAUGAACGGUCUAUGGGGCUGCAAGAUCGAUUCUGGGGCCUCUGACUAGUGAUAACAUUACACUACGGUAACGCCACAUAGACAAACAACUUAAUGUCGAGAUCUGUCCAGGCUAUUAUUGAUUAAUCUCGCAUUGACAGCUCAUUACCGUAAUGGCUGCUCUCUUCAGUGUUUAUGUCACUGAGCAGAAAGUGAGCGCCGCAAAUUUUAGCUGUACUUUUCCCUUGAGUUUGCAAACUGGCAGGAGGCAUUGUGAAAAAAAAAAUCGCGAGCGAAUAGUUACUUUUUUAAUGUGCGACCAAACUAGCAUGCUACUCGCUAGCGCCAACUUUAGCACAAACUCCACGCUUCCCAGUCUGGUUUCUCUCUAUUAAAAUACGAUUGCUACCCUGUAAUGAUUCCCCUCGAUCAGAUUAUUUUAUUGUCAAGGUUUUUGCGUUUCAUUGCAAAUAUUGGGCCCCAUUUUGUGAUUAUUUGCGUACUUGUUUGUACCUCUUCAGUUUUUACUAGGGAACACUCCGUGCUUCGUAAUACCGCAUGUGUGUCAUAUCCUGUCACAUGAUGGUGAUCUAACCAAUUGCAAUCUUACACGUCAUCAAGUCGUUUGCUCCCGAACGAUCUUUAUUUUUAUUUAUUUAUUUAUUUAUUUUUAUUUUCCCGAACCGAUCUUGCAGGUCGAGCACAUAUGGAUACCUACACCGCCACUCUCGUUGUCAGAUAGAGCUUCAGUUGUCGGGCUAUGUCGGAAUUCUCACCCUUAUCAUAACUAACUAUAAUACAGUGCCCUUGAUUUUAAAGGCAAUUCGGACACGACACCUUCAAACAUUACCGUGUUGCUCCUCUGUCCGUCUUUAUUAACAAAGUCAUGAGCAACAAAACACCUUUAUAAAAUGACGCUCACAGCAGUAAUAUUUUAUAACUUAAGUAAGUUGUGUAUUUUGACCAUAGUGAUGUUUUAGUUCACUUGUAUUGUUGUUGCAUCAAGAUGAAUUUACUCAUGUAUUCUGUAUUAACAUGUUAGUUCUGAACAUAUAUAAAAGCGGACUUUUCUUAAAAAUAGUAAUGAAAAUGUAAGAUUAAAAAUGAUUAUAGAAAUAUAUAUGUGUAUAAUUAACUGUUUACAUUUUGUAUGGCGCCACAUUUUUUCUAUCUGCUUUGGCAAAUCGUACAUUUAUAUACGUCUUCAUUAUAAUAAUAGAGCCGGCGUCACCGACCCUGUUCUUCGUGAACUCCACUGCCCUGCUUCAGUAAUUCCUGAUUAGCUGGAUUGGAUGAGCUCCGUUUCUGAUUGACUGAACACACCUGAUCAGGACAAUCCUGGAGAAAAUGGAUCUGCUGGAGAAGUACAGCAGUGGGUGAAAGAAAGGAGUGAAGAAAGAGAAGGAGUGAGCCACCGACUGGAAGAAGAAAAUUAAGAAGAAACAGUGAUGAGCUUCUAGACCUAAACAGAGGACAUGAGGCAGAAGAGCAGAGCGCACGAGAGAGGAGGGAGACUUUUGACCAACUUUAGUCUGCUGGAAAGAAUUUCUGUUAAAAUCCUUAGAUGUCUGAGAAUAAAUAAAUGAAGUUUGUAUUUGAUAUAUUAGAAAUGUUUGUUUUUGUUUUGUUAAUUUAAAUAAAGAUCUAAAUCAAACACA